GAAAGUAAAAGUCGUAACAAGGUCUCCGUUGGCGAACCAGUGGAGGGAUCAUUACCGAGUUUACAACUCCCAAACCCCAUGUGAACCUUACCAAACGUUGCUUCGGCGGGAUGCCCCGGGCGCGGGCCGCAAGGCCUCAGCCCCGGAACCAGGCGCCCGCCGGAGGCCCAAACCAAACUCUUGUUUUUGUAGAAUCUUCUGAGUGGCCUUUUAGGCAAAAAAUGAAUCAAAACUUUCAACAACGGAUCUCUUGGUUCUG
rnacentral:misc_RNA from 1 species